rnacentral:rRNA from 1 species
CCUACGGGCGGCAGCAGUAGGGAAUCUUCGGCAAUGGGGGCAACCCUGACCGAGCAACGCCGCGUGAGUGAAGAAGGUUUUCGGAUCGUAAAGCUCUGUUGUAAGAGAAGAACGAGUGUGAGAGUGGAAAGUUCACACUGUGACGGUAACUUACCAGAAAGGGACGGCUAACUACGUGCCAGCAGCCGCGGUAAUACGUAGGUCCCGAGCGUUAUCCGGAUUUAUUGGGCGUAAAGCGAGCGCAGGCGGUUUGAUAAGUCUGAAGUUAAAGGCUGUGGCUCAACCAUAGUUCGCUUUGGAAACUGUCAAACUUGAGUGCAGAAGGGGAGAGUGGAAUUCCAUGUGUAGCGGUGAAAUGCGUAGAUAUAUGGAGGAACACCGGUGGCGAAAGCGGCUCUCUGGUCUGUAACUGACGCUGAGGCUCGAAAGCGUGGGGAGCGAACAGGAUUAGAUACCCGGGUAGUC